GGGAACAGGGUGCUGUCUGGGACUGGGGAACAGGGUGCUGUUUGGGACUGGGGAACAGGGUGCUGUUUGGGACUGGGGAACAGGGUGCUGUUUGGGACUGGGGAACAGGGUGCUGUUUGGGACUGGGGUACAGGGUGCUGUUUGGGACUGGGGUACAGGGUGCAGUUUGGGACUGAGGAACAGGGUGCUGUUUGGGAAUGGGGUACAGGGUGCAGUUUGGGACUGAGGAACAGGGUGCUGUUUGGGAAUGGGGUACAGGGUGCAGUUUGGGACUGAGGAACAGGGUGCUGUUUGGGAAUGGGGAACAGGGUGCUGUUUGGGACUGGGGAACAGGGUGCUGUUUGGGACUGGGGAACAGGGUGCUGUUUGGGACUGGGGAACAGGGUGCUGUUUGGGACUGGGGUACAGGGUGCAGUUUGGGACUGAGGAACAGGGUGCUGUUUGGGAAUGGGGAACAGGGUGCUGUUUGGGAAUGGGGAACAGGGUGCUGUUUGGGAAUGGGGAACAGGGUGCUGUUUGGGACUGAGGAACAGGGUGCUGUUUGGGAAUGGGGAACAGGGUGCUGUUUGGGAAUGGGGAACAGGGUGCUGUUUGGGACUGAGGAACAGGGUGCUGUUUGGGAAUGGGGAACAGGGUGCUGUUUGGGAAUGGGGAACAGGGUGCUGUUUGGGACUGAGGAACAGGGUGCUGUUUGGGAAUGGGGUACAGGGUGCUGUUUAGAAGAUAGAUUUGGCUGAGCGAAAAGUAAACCAAAUUAUGAUUGGUAAUUUUAUUUUGACACGAUUCAGUAUAUUUGUCUAUGAUAUGUUUUGUUGUAGAUAUACAGCAAUAACGGGUUACCUGCCUGUCUGGUUACCUGCCUGUCUGGUUACCUGCCUGUCUGGUUACCUACCUGUCUGGUUACCUACCUGUCUGGUUACCUGCCUGUCUGGUUACCUGCCUGUCUGGUUACCUGCCUGUCUGGUUACCUGCCUGUCUG
ensembl:lncRNA